UCCAGCGGUAGUCAGCUGUCUGUCAGUACCAUGUCUGUGACAGUGUUACUCUGCUGGGAGAUAAAAGUGCUGUCUGUUUUAACUGUUAGUCAUUGUCUCUGUUCUGGAGGCAUCUGACACCAGUAUGGGGCAGUACUGUGCUUCUCUGAGAGUCUGCUGAGCAGAUAACACCCUGCUUAGCACUAGUCUGGAAGCCUACACA